rnacentral:rRNA from 1 species
UACAGAGGGGGCAAGCGUUAUUCGGAAUUAUUGGGCGUAAAGGGCGCGUAGGCGGCCGUGCAAGUGGAAGGUGAAAUCCCUCGGCUCAACCGAGGAACUGCCUUUCAAACUGCAUGGCUUGAGUCCGGGAGAGGUGAGUGGAAUUCCCAGUGUAGCGGUGAAAUGCGUAGAUAUUGGGAGGAACCCCAGUGGCGAAGGCGGCUCACUGGACCGGAACUGACGCUGAGGCGCGAAAGCGUGGGGAGCAAACAGG